UUCUCUAUUUUAGGGUAAAAGCUUCGUGAUAGAAGAGAAAUACUUGCAGCAUGCCUACCGUUUCCUUUCAACACUACGAUCCUGCUUGCUGCUUUCCUAUGAUGGAUUGUACAGUUAUUUCAUCUCCGUAUCAGAAACGCUGCCUUCCUCAUGCAAGCUGGAGCUUGAAAAACUGGAUCUGAAAGUCCGGCUCAGUGAGAUAUCUGACAAAGUGAUGGAAAUAGAAGACCCCAAUGAUCUGGCAGAAACAAUAAAUAGCAGCCUAAUAUUGCUAUCAUCUCAACUUCUCAAUCUGUGGGGAAAAUUUCUUCAAUCCUCCCUGGAGAGUGAACAAGAGAAGAAGCAAAUAAAGGUAAGAAGCGCAUUGAAUAGGCUUUAAGGCAGGGGAAGCUUAGUGCUCAAUCUUCAGUGGGACUCCAUUUAUUGUUUUACACUGCCGUUAUCUCUCAAGGUUGUGCUUAUGAACUGUGUCUAUUUUAUUGUUUUAUAGGAAGAAAAGUUCAAGAAAUUAUUCGUCUCUACUGACCAUCCCCGACAAGAAGCUAUUUUAUAUGAUGAGAAGAUCACCGAAAGCCACAAAGAGAUUUACAAAGAAGUCAAAAAAGCUGCAAAAGUCUGUUGUCUCGAGUGCCGGGACACGGUAUCAAAAUCUGCCCCCGUUGUCUUUGAAGACCGGUACUUAGAGCCUGAAGCAAUAGGUACGUAUGGAAAGAAUCCACAGGUGCUGCUGCCUCAGUGUGUGACAGUUGUUCAUCCAGAACUCCUUCCGUUCAUUAUUAUCUUUUAAAUACGUAUUUCUAAAGUACCAACAUAUCCCACCGCUCUGUACAAUAGAACCACUGAGAU